rnacentral:snoRNA from 1 species
GCAGUUCUAUGAUGAUUACCCUUUCCAAUGCAUAGUUCAUCUGAAAAAGAUGAUGAAAACUCUCCUUCACAAGUCUUUCGCUCCCAUCUGAUGCACCUC